rnacentral:rRNA from 1 species
UCCACGCCCUAAACGAUGUCAACUAGGUGUUGGGGAAGGAGACUUCUUUAGUACCGCAGCUAACGCGUGAAGUUGACCGCCUGGGGAGUACGGUCGCAAGAUUAAAACUCAAAGGAAUUGACGGGGACCCGCACAAGCGGUGGAUUAUGUGGAUUAAUUCGAUGCAACGCGAAAAACCUUACCUACCCUUGACAUGUCAGGAAGAUUCCAGAGAUGGGAUUGUGCCCGAAAGGGAACCUGAACACAGGUGCUGCAUGGCUGUCGUCAGCUCGUGUCGUGAGAUGUUGGGUUAAGUCCCGCAACGAGCGCAACCCUCGUCCUUAGUUGCCUAGCAGGUUAAGCUGGGCACUCUAGGGAGACUGCCUUCGUAAGGAGGAGGAAGGUGAGGACGACGUCAAGUCAUCAUGGCCCUUACGGCCAGGGCUACACACGUGCUACAAUGGGGCGUACAGAGUGUUGCAAUACCGCGAGGUGGAGCCAAUCAC